CACCGCGGUUAUACGAAUGGCCCAAGUUGACAGAUACUCGGCGUAAAACGUGGCUAAGUCAUACACUCACACUAAAGCCAAACACCUUCAAGGCUGUCAUACGCAACCGAAGGCAGGAAGUCCCUCCACGAAAGUGGCUUUACCUUAUCUGAGCCCACGAAAGCUAGGAAA
rnacentral:rRNA from 1 species